CCGCCAUGUGAGUCCAACAAGAGAGGACGCAUGCUGCCAGCAUCCUUGAUCAGUUUCAGAACUUGGCAGCCUUAUUCUUGGAGCUGUGAUAUGUUGAGAACCCUAACAGACACGAUCUUCUCUCCCCCUCAGUGAAGGGUGUCACACGGCAUUCUGGCCACAGCCCUCUCCCCUGUGUUCCAGUCAACAAAGUGGUUUGGUCCUGUCUUCCCCAGAGCAACGGCCUUGACUUAACAAUCAUUAUGUGUGUUUUCACUUAACGAGCAUUUGUGGGUGACUAUUUUCAAGAACGAAGCACACCAAAAGCCAAGUUAGAGUCAAAGUAGUGAGUGCCUGGGGAAUCCGCUGAGAACUGCAAUUACUUGCAAUUACACACAGCAGCCGUGGUGGUAGAGGUGUUUCUGUUGAACAUACACAGGACAUCCAUGUCCUGCUCUGUUUCUCUCUGCCUUACUCCUUUGAAACAGGUUCUUUCCCUGCACCUGGAGCUAGGUGCCAGCAAGCCCCAGCAAUUCUGUCUUUGCCUCCACACAGCACUGAAAUUGCACAGCCAUGCCUGGCUGUUUAUAUGUCAUCCGGAUUUGAAUUCAUGUCCUUAUGCUUGCACAAGCAAGCACUCUUCCUCAGUGAGUCCUCUCCAUGGCCCUCAAACUUGAUACUGAUCCAUCAGUUCUCAAAUAGAAUGCCAAUUUCGCUAUGUUGCCUUCUUUUUCCUUGCUUUUAUAGAAGUAUUUUUAAAAAUCAAUUCCGUUUCAUCACUUAGAUAUGCUCAUCUUCUUUAUUAGUGACUACAAACUUGAGACCUGCUCAGUGAUUUGAAAAGAGUCUCCAAAUGAGGCACUCAUGGAGCCAAAGUGAGCCAAUCCACAACAGCUUCACUUUCCAGAGACAACCUGGGCAUCGAUCCUCCUGUGGCCUCUUCUAGGUUUCUCAACAUCUACCUUGCCGUCCUAAUCUUAUCUCCUUCCCAUGAUUUGCCUCCCACCCACUAUCCAUCCUGGCUUUACUCCAUCUAGGACACAAAUCUAGAGUUCUGACGUCUAAUAACCUAUGUUCAUCUCCUCAAUGGAGAGGAAGUUCUUUGAUGUCAGGGAUAUAUAUUUUUUCAUGUUUGUAUUCCUAGAGCCCAGAAGUGUACCUAAGAUAUAGCAUUAUGUACUCAAUGCUCUCAAAAGAGGGGGGUGAGUAUAGGACACACACAUAAGUGUCAGGGACAUUAACUGUUAACCUUGCGAUCCUCCUCCGGUGUGCUCCACAAUGCUCACAGUGUUACGGAAAAGGAAGUUCUGCACACAGAAGCUCUGCGUCAACCCAGGCUGAAGCGCUUCUGUUUCUUUAUUCUAGGCAGGGCCUGUAAGGACUCAGGCAUUAUGCUGGCCUGCCCCUGUCUCCUGACAGAAUGCACUCGGGCAGUACCCUGGUCAGCCCAGGGUUCCAUGAGUCCUAGUCUGCAGAGAUGCAAAGGACCCUUUUAAAAGACAGACCCCCACCCACUUCUGUUCUCUUUCCUACUUCUCUCUUUCCUGCUGUUCCCCUGGGGCAGACAGGACUUUUCCUGUCUCCCUCUUCUCUUCUGUCCCCUCUCUGUGUCUCUUUUUACACACACACACACACACACACACACACACACACACACACACACACACACCGUCUACAUGAGGCACACUGUCAGCAAAAAAAAAAAGCAGCAAAAGCAAGAAUAUGACAAACAGCUGAAGCAUGAGCAAUUAAUACCGUCUGAAUGUGGAAAACAAAGCUUAAUUUAGAAAAGAAAAAAAAACGAAUACAAACAAAAUGCUGGAUGGCUGUUUGCCUGUCCAGUGUGACCAUCAGCAGCAACAGGACAUUCGAAGCAUCACCACAGCCUUUCUGAUAUGAGGGGCCAGGGCCUGGGCUGGAAGCACAGGGUGACAUCGGGCUGCCUCACCUGGCUCCCCUACUUUUCCGGUGGACUUUCCACGCUUACGCUCACCGCCUGGACCCCAGAUGGCUGCCAGAAGCUUCAAGUACCUUUCCUCUCAUUCUGGCAUCACAAAUGAUAAAGAAACAGCACAGUACCCUGCCCAAAGGCCUAAGGGGUGCAUUUAGAGCUCGGUUUUAGCAGAGUAAAACCUCUUUCCCAGAACCCCUUGGCAUCCUCCUUCCAGUUCACUGGCAGACCAUGUCACAUCACCCCCUGCUAGCAAGCUAACUGGGACAAUACUAUGAAGCCGGGGGAAAUGGGGUUUCAUAUCUGACCUAGAUUUAGAACCACUUACUGAUUGAUGCUUGAGGAGGUGCCAGUCUUCUCCGAAGCAAUUAGAUGAUUCUUUAAUAUGCGAUCUGUUUUUACCAUGUCUGUUUUUGUAAUUUUUCCCAAUUUUCAAUGGCUUUGGUCAGCAGCUAUUUUCCAGUGAGCUUUCAUUUUUAUAAUGAAGCCUAGUUUUAAUUGGUGUUAGCUUUUUGUACUAUUUAUAUAAAAUCAUAUCUGCCCCCUCAGCCUAUCACAAUAUCCUCAAUUACAACAGCAAAACUAAAAAAAAAAAAUCACAGUUCUGUCUUAAAGGAAAGGAGGCUUUUGGGGAGGAGACAAGAAAUGAACCCACAAAGAAUGGAGUGCUUGCCUUAUCCGAGUUUUAAACCAUGCGUGGAAGUACAGGCUUGUGAUUCCAACACUUGGGAGGCACCACAGGAGGAUCUGGAACUUAAAGCCAUCUUUAUCGUCCACUACACCAUGAAUUGGAGGCCAGCCUGGGCUACACUAAGACCAUUUUCAAAAUAGAAGUAACUGCCUAAAUUUAGAGAUUACUGGCUAAGAGUAGGUUGAGGUGUCUGCUUCGGUCUCAGGACUUGAGGGUACUGCUAUGGGUUGCUUCUCCCUUCACAGUCAUCUUUCCUUUUGCUACUCAUCAUCUCUGUGUGAAAACCACAGUGGUUUUCCUGUAUAUUUUUCUUUUUAUUCUUUAAUCCUUCUGAUGGGGAAUGUACUGUGUAUGUUUAUCUUAUUGUUAAAUAAAAUACUGUUUGGCCAAUGGCAAGCAAGGACUAGGAGUCAAAGAGGAUUCUGGGAAAUGUAGUAGAGAAGUGAUGAUCCAGGCAGGAAGUGACAUGGCAAGGAGACUCAUAUCUAAGCGAGGAAACAAGAAGUAUGACUCUUUUCCCCCUCUGCUCCUGCUCCAGCGGCACAAUGUGAUCCACCGGCAAGGAGGGACGCCAAUAAGGUGUCUGAUAAGUCUUAUAAAAUAUAUAGGUUUAUGAUAAUUAAGACUGAGCUAACAGAUGAGAAUCCUAAUCAUUGGCCAAGCAGCAUUGUACCUAAUACAAGUUUUGUGUAUUCAUUUGGGCCCUAACUCAGGCUGUCGGCUGGCGUAAAGCUCACACGUGGCGGUGGGGCUCCGGCAGCUUUUGGCAGAAAGAUUUAUUGUAACAUCCUUGUACCGGUUAGAAUUGGAGUUUGUGGAAGAAAGGAAGAAAAAGACCCAAACUACAAUGGCUUCAAUUAAGCAACAGUGUUUUCUAUCGGUCAAAGAACUAGGGCAGAUUGAUUAAAGUUCAUAGGUGGCCCUACCCAAAAAGUCCUUGGGAGCAUUUUAAUGUCUUAUGAAGCAUUGCCUAAUUACACAAUUAAAAAUGACAAUUAGAAUCUUAAAAAGCCAAAAACAAUGUUUUCAGCACCCAGGCUCUUGUUUUCAUACAAGCCUGAAGUUUGAAUUACCAAAAUGGCUACUGUAGAAGCAGCCAACCAACACCUCCCAGUCAAGUGGAGGAUUGGAUGUGUUUCCCAAACAGCUGUGGCUUCCAGCCAUAUCAUAUUUUUAUAUUUGCACUUACAGCCAUGCCCUAGGGCUCAGUACUAAGCUGAGAGGCUGACAAAAUAUCCUUCUACUAGGUGCCCACACACCCAGCUAAAAUGAGGACACAUUUUAUUACUUAAAAUAUUGUUUCCAUUUCUAUGGGGAAAGAAAGAGAUUUGAUGUUGGGGGGGGGGGCUGUCAGCAGUCCACAUCCUCUGUUCCUGUAUUGGAUUUUGUCCAGCAGAGACACACAAAAGUUUCUUCCGAUUUUUCAGUCUGAUCCACAUGAUCUCAUUGGUGUCUAGGAAAAGAUUUCACAGACCUGAUAGAAUAGGAAAAAUGGUCAUCAGUGAAGUUCACAUCAAAAGCUAGGCUAUAUUUCUUUAAUUCUGCCAAGCCUUAGGAACAAACUUGUCCUUGCACCAGGACUAAAAAGUUAUAAACACAAGUUGAAAACUGAACACCCAAGGACUUCAAGAAGCUGACUCCUGUUGUGCUGACUCUGUGUGGUAUUAAUCUACUGCAAAUAAAUAUAAUCAUUUAAAUAAA
rnacentral:lncRNA from 1 species